GACGAACGCUGGCGGCGUGCUUAACACAUGCAAGUCGAACGGAAAGGCCCUGCUUUUGUGGGGUGCUCGAGUGGCGAACGGGUGAGUAACACGUGAGUAACCUGCCCUUGACUUUGGGAUAACUUCAGGAAACUGGGGCUAAUACCGGAUAGGAGCUCCUGCUGCAUGGUGGGGGUUGGAAAGUUUCGGCGGUUGGGGAUGGACUCGCGGCUUAUCAGCUUGUUGGUGGGGUAGUGGCUUACCAAGGCUUUGACGGGUAGCCGGCCUGAGAGGGUGACCGGCCACAUUGGGACUGAGAUACGGCCCAGACUCCUACGGGAGGCAACAGUGGGGAAUAUUGCACAAUGGGCGGAAGCCUGAUGCAGCAACGCCGCGUGCGGGAUGACGGCCUUCGGGUUGUAAACCGCUUUCGCCUGUGACGAAGCGUGGGUGACGGUAAUGGGUAAAGAAGCACCGGCUAACUACGU
rnacentral:rRNA from 1 species